GACGAACGCUGGCGGCGUGCUUAACACAUGCAAGUCGAGCGGUAAGGCCCUUUCGGGGGUACGACGAGCGGCGAACGGGUGAGUAACACGUGGGUGACCUGCCCUCCAGCUCUGGGAGUAAGCCUGGGAAACCGGGUCUAAUACUGGAUAUGACUCCAUGACGCAUGUUGUGGGGUGGAAAGCCUUGUGCGGCUGAGGAUGGGCCCGCGGCCUAUCAGCUUGUUGGUGGGGUGANGGCCUACCAAGGCGACGACGGGUAGCCGGCCUGAGAGGGCGACCGGCCACACUGGGACUGAGACACGGCCCAGACUCCUACGGGAGGCAGCAGUGGGGAAUCUUGCGCAAUGGGCGAAAGCCUGACGCAGCGACGCCGCGUGAGGGAUGACGGCCUC
rnacentral:rRNA from 1 species